rnacentral:rRNA from 1 species
CGUUAGCGGCGGACGGGUGAGUAACACGUGGGUAACCUACCUAUAAGACUGGGAUAACUUCGGGAAACCGGAGCUAAUACCGGAUAAUAUUUCGAACCGCAUGGUUCGAUAGUGAAAGGUGGUUUUGCUAUCACUUAUAGAUGGACCCGCGCCGUAUUAGCUAGUUGGUAAGGUAACGGCUUGCCAAGGCGACGAUACGUAGCCGACCUGAGAGGGUGAUCGGCCACACUGGAACUGAGACACGGUCCAGACUCCUACGGGAGGCAGCAGCA